CAAGAACUCCUGUGUGUCGUGUAGAUGAAUGUUGACAAGCUGAAGAAGAUGGCCGAUGCCCUGCGCCGAAGGCAAGGGCAGUGUUUAAAUGUGCUUUCUGUGUUAACCUUGCUACUAUCAUCCAUAGGUAGUGUCAUUGGUUUUGCGACAAGCAGUAGAGUUUCCCGCUUUCUACGAAAAAUUCAUCAUUGGUUAUACUCCAUGGUGAUAGCUCAACCUCAUUUCUGAAAUAUUUUGGCACAGACGGCUAUGACAACCUUGUACAGAUGGUCCAUCAAGUACACCCAACACCUUUUUUUUCAUUGUUCAACAUUCUAGAUGCUGCCAUGUCGUCUGCCCUGCUUCUAGCACCUAACUAUUUUACCGAAAAAGGGUUUCCCCCCGCUUUGUAUUACAAAGCAACAACAUCGAUACAACCAACGAUAGGUGCUGGGGCGGAAGCAGCACAGGCACGCCCAAAAGAAAAGAAAGAGAAAAUACAAAAGGAAGAAAAUGCCGACAAUGGCGGAUCAACGGAAACGAAGAUGGCUCGCAACCGCUGCGCCCGCCGGAGAAUUCCACCACGCUCCUAGCACCACGAAAUGCCGCAUACCAAGCAACACCUUCAAGAAGGAACGCGACGACAACGACGCUGCUACCGGACAUGGCCUAGGGUUUCCCCCGGUACGCGAAGGGCCGUGGGAGGGAAGGGGGAUAUCCGACGCCCUUCAGGAAGGCACGGCGGUGCCCACAGGCGUCACCGCGUCGGUGCUGAACAAGCCGACAAGGACUUCUCCCAACCUCCAACCAACCACGACCCAGACGAUCCAUCGCGCUCCACCAUACUUGCCGUCCGCCAAUAUGCGCCACCACGGACUCGCUGUCACCAACACCGUCUCACCGUGACAAGCGAAGCGAGACCGGCAGGAUCGAGAGGAACCAACCGGAAACGAGGAGCAGCAGGGUCAGCGGCCACGUGGGAGGGGACAACCUCCACCACCCUCGGCGGUGACCGACCGGACGUAGCUCAGGAGCAAACCAGGCACCCCUGCCCGGCCGAGCCCGAAGCGGGCUCGUGAAGCUCCCGUCGCUGCGCUGCAGUACACGCGCCAUCGUCUCCGCCACCCCCAGCCCAAGCCACACCUCCGUCCGCCGGAGAUGACGCCGAAAAGCACACGCCAGGCCCACCCAGACCCGGACGGGGCCCAAAAGGGCCCAGAUCUGGGCCGGAAGGGCUCCUCCGCCAGCCAUCGCGACGCCCCGCAGCCAAGCAGCCACGCCACCGCCACCUCGCCACCCGGAGCUGCGCCGCCUGCGAAGACGAGCCGCCACCGGAUCCGACGCCGGCCUGGGUGCACCGCCGCCGGCGCCAUCGCCCGAGCCACAUCGCCGCGCGGGGAGGAAAAGAACGGGGCCGCCGCCGCCGGCAUCACACGAGCCAGGCCCGGAGGCCUACGCCGGCGACGGCGGGAGGGGAUUAGAGGAGGGGGACCGCUGGGAGGGGGAGGGAAGGGGAGCCCCCGGUCGCCUCGCUCGGGGAGGCGACGCGGGGGGUACGGGGGAGGAGGGGAGGGGGAGGGGGAGCCGGGGCGCGCCCGCCGGUGGCCGGGGGCGGCGGGAGCGGGGGAGGGCGGCGGCGGCGGCGGGGGAAACCCUAACGUGAGCGGGGAGCGGGUGCUAGUAUAGUGAAUAGAAGACUAUCACCUAACUAUUUUCAGAACGUUGACUCUUAAUGCUCAGUGACUGGGUGCUGCCACUUCGUCUGCCCUGCUUCUAGCACCUAACAGUUUGCUCCCUUUUUUCUCCCAUGUCCCAUUGUUAAUGCAAGAACUCCUGUGUGUCGUGUGUAGAUGAAUGUUGACAAGCUGAAGAAGAUGGCCGAUGCCCUGCGCCGAAGGCAAGGG
rnacentral:lncRNA from 1 species